rnacentral:ncRNA from 10 species
GUUGCAUUAGCUCAAUUGGUAGAGCGUUUGUUUUGUAAUCAAAAGGUUUAGAGUUCAACUCUCUAAUGCANUN